UUCAUACCUAGUGAAUCCCGGUUGCUAUCAGCAGUAAGGAUCUACGGCAAAUACCUGAUAUUGCCAAUCGGGCCGAUGUGUGGCAUGGAGAUAUCGAGUUAAUCGGCAAUGGAUUUUUCCCUUUGAGAUGCUACAUGGGCCCAGAAGAAUGUCUACGAGUUUUAGCUCUGAGGCUGGAUGAGGCCAGAAGAAGAAGAUGUAGUAUCACGUGAAACGGCCGUCAGUCACCUCAUGCCUCCCCGUUGAUCCGGUUUCCCGGCAUACUUAGACUUCAGUUGUGGUAUAAAUCUGGAACAUACCAAGAAAACCUACAACCCAAGAAACAAUCUUCAGGGACAGAUGAGGACUCAUUUUCCUUUCCUAUCUUACCAGGCUUUUCACUUUCUCAUGAGUGUUUAAGGUUUAUUGCUUAGACGCCUGCAUUUUCCAUGGAAGCGUCCACCGAUCCUCCAUACUUUUUUUUGCAUUUUCUAGUGGGACUUAAUAGAUAGUUCUGUCCUGCAGUAUGGAAUCAAGAUAUACCCAAAACAUUGCUCACUGGACAAUUUUCCAAUUCCAAUUCCCGAAACCUGAGACGCUCAUGGACUGUUUAUAUUUUCUGCUAUAUGGUUGUUGCAUCCUUGUUUCUCUCAUACAUGAGAUCGUGU